UACAGAGGGUGCAAGCGUUGUUCGGAUUUACUGGGCGUACAGGGGGCGUAGGCGGUUGGAUAAGCCCUCCGUGAAAUCUCCAGGCUUAACCUGGAAAGUGCAGAGGGGACUGUUCAGCUAGAGGAUGGGAGAGGAGCGCGGAAUUCCCGGUGUAGCGGUGAAAUGCGUAGAGAUCGGGAGGAAGGCCGGUGGCGAAAGCGGCGGACUGGCCUAAAACUGACGCUGAGGCGCGAAGGCUAGGGGAGCAAACAGG
rnacentral:rRNA from 1 species